UACGUAGGGGGCUAGCGUUGUCCGGAAUCAUUGGGCGUAAAGCGCGCGUAGGCGGCCCGGUAAGUCCGUUGUGAAAGUCAAAGGCUCAACCUUUGAAAGCCGAUGGAUACUGCCGGGCUAGAGUCCGGAAGAGGCGAGUGGAAUUCCUGGUGUAGCGGUGGAAUGCGCAGAUAUCAGGAAGAACACCCGUGGCUAAGGCGGUUCUCUAGUACGGUACUGACGCUGAGACGCGAAAGCGUGGGGAGCGAACAGG
rnacentral:rRNA from 1 species